rnacentral:lncRNA from 1 species
CCGGAGGCCGCGUGACGCCAGAACGCGGGGCGUGAGGAGUGCGCCUGCGCGAAGGGGCUGCGCGUGCGCAGCGAGUGUGCAGAAGGCCGGGAGUGUUCAGGGUCGUGAGGUGGAACUCUACCGCUGUCGCCACGGUGUCCUGGCGAGUGCUGCGCCGGCUCUGUCCGGCGGAAGUUGCCGGUCGGUGCGAACGAGCGUCCUUUGGUCACAACUGGCUCUGGUGUCAGCCGAGGCUGCUCCCUUGAUCCAUCCAGGAGAGACAAGGACCCACGUCUGAGUGCCGAAGGGCAGAGGCAUAGGGCUGCGCUUCGCGGGGUGCUGGUUCUGGAGUGGGUCUGCUGGAGCUUGGGAGAAGCCAUCUUGAAGUGGAGCAGAGCCCAGAGUAGCUUUACUCCAUGUUCCAGACACGGAUACCUGAGGCCACCUGGAGAAUGGGUUGGAAGCAGCCAAGAGAACCCAAAGCAAAACGGAAUGAGUACAGCCAGCCCUGCUUGUGUCAGAACUGGAAGUUGCCCAGAUGCCCAGCACUGAGAGACGUGAUAACUUAAUAAAUGUGUGCUGGAAUAAGCCCACUGUGACAUGCUACAGGAGUGAGAAAAUGAAAGGACUGGGUGGAGAGAGAGCUCUGAGGUAAAGUGCUUGCCUUAUAACAGUGAUGGCCCAGAUUCAGUCAGAACUUAAAGCAGGCACAGUGACACACUGUGAUCUAGCAUGGAGGAGAUAAAGACAGGUGGGUCUCAGAGUUUGACAGCCAGCCUAGCCUACUGGAAGCCCCAGGCUAGAGAGCGCCCACAUCACAAACAACAGUAAAACAAGGAGGGAUGGCUGGGGGGGGGGUGUCACCUUGAAGUGACUGGCCUCCACAUGUGCACACAUACACAGGGACAAGGGAUCGUUUGUGUGAAAGAAAAGCAAGGUGCACAUACCACAUCUGAUGAUGUGCCACCUUUGGGUGUGGCACUGAGGGAGUUCUGUAAGCCUGUGCUGGCCAGCUUCAUGCCAACCUCUACACAAAACAGAGGCAACUGGCAAGAGGGAAUCUUUUGUUUUGCUUUCCCAGACAGGGUUUCUCUGUGUAGCCCUAGCUGUCUUGGAACUUGUCCUGUAGACCAGCUGGCCUUGAACUCAGAAAUCUGCCCACCUCUGUCCUGGCUCCCAAGUGCUGGGAUUAAAGUUAUGCACCACCACCAUGAGGCAGGAAAGAGAAUCUUAACUGAGAAAAAUGCCUCCUGUAGGCAAGUCUGUGGGUUAUUGUUUUGAUCAGUGAUUGGAUGGCAGCUUACUGUGGAUGAUAGAACCCCUGGGUCCUGGGUGGCAUAAAAAAGUAGGAACAGCAAGCUAUGAGGAGCAGGCCAUCAGCACUGAUCCUCCGUGAACUCUGCAUCAGCUCUUGCCUCAAAGUUUCUGCCAUGUGUGAGUUCUUGCCUUGACUUCCCUCAGCGAUGACUGUGAUCUGAAGCUAUAAGCCAGAAUAAACCGUUUCCCUCCAA